rnacentral:rRNA from 1 species
AUGCUGAGGGUUGCGGGGAGGAGGCUCUCGUCUUCGCUCUCCUGGCGCCCCGUGGCGACCGUCGGAGCCAGGGGCCCGCUCGCUGGCGCCGGCGGCCCUGGGAGAGACGACGACGACGGUUCGGCCUACCAGCGGCGGUUCGCCAUCGAGUCCCCCUUCUUCACCGCCGCGAGAGGCUUUUCUUCAGCUGAAACACUUGUUCCACGGAACCAAGAUGCUGGGUUGGCUGAACUCCCAGCCACUGUUGCUGCACUGAAGAACCCCAACUCAAAAAUCCUUUAUGACCAGUACAACCAUGAAAGAUAUCCUCCUGGAGAUCCCAGCAAGCGUGCCUUUGCCUACUUUGUUCUGAGUGGUGGGAGAUUCGUAUAUGCAUCACUGCUGCGUCUCCUUGUCUUGAAGUUUGUCUUGAGCAUGUCAGCAAGUAAGGAUGUGCUUGCACUUGCUUCCCUUGAGGUUGAUCUAUCCAGCAUUGAACCCGGUAGCACAGUGACUGUCAAGUGGCGUGGAAAGCCAGUCUUCAUCAGGCGACGGACAGACGAUGACAUCAAGCUGGCCAACAGCGUGGAUGUUGCAUCCCUGCGCCACCCAGAGCAAGACGCUGAGCGUGUGAAGAACCCAGAGUGGCUGGUGGUUAUUGGUGUCUGCACUCAUCUUGGUUGCAUUCCCCUUCCCAACUCUGGAGACUUUGGUGGCUGGUUCUGCCCGUGCCAUGGCUCCCACUAUGACAUCUCUGGCAGAAUCCGCAAGGGCCCUGCCCCGUACAACCUUGAGGUGCCCACCUACAGUUUCUUGGAAGAUAACAAGAUGCUCAUAGGCUAA